GCAUUUGAAACUUCAGAAAGAUUUUUCUUCUUCUUCAUCAUCAUCAUCUGGGAAGAAAGCCACCAAAGUGUUGGCUUCAUUCUUCCUCUAUUUCCAAAAGAAGAAGCAGAAGAAGGAAAAGAUGAAGCGACUUAACGAACUCAGGAGUUUCUCGGAUGCUGUCAGUGAAAGGAAGGCAUGGAAACCUGAAUCAAAAAAGAAAGUUUUCCCAUCUAGUCUCACGCCGUCUUGGCUUGGUCAAGGUAAGGCUCAUUCACAAGAUGUCUCACAAGGUCAUGAUCCACCUAGAGACAGCACAAGCGCAUUCCUUCCAUGACUCAAAAAAUGUCAAAAACAUCUCGAGAUCAUAUGUAUUGCUUUCAAUUUGAUUACGUGGAUGUUGUAGGAUAUCUCAUUGUCGUGGUUUUCCACACUAAGACCCUAAUCUGACUGCCUCAGGGUGUAUUAUGUAUGCAAAGCAAAUUCUUUGUAGAGCAAGAUCUUAAUAAAACUGAUGUGUAUGAUUCAAGAAAUGAGAAUUCUAUCGGGAAAACUUUGCCUUAGAACCAGAAAUAAUUAUAGAUCAAGAAUCCAAACAAUUUUUUUCCAAACGGAAGAGAAGAUAGACAUCAAAUAUUUUAUACAUCUAUCCUACAAGCACGGACCAAUGGCUUCAUUCCCUAACCCAACCUGGGAGAUAAAACAUCUCAACUCACCGGUUCCAACCAGGUAAAUACCCUUGGAUCAAGUCUCUGCAACAUCUCAGCUGUUUGAUGACCUAUUCAACAUCAGGGUAAAAGAAUGCAAGGCAUGUUAUUAAAGAACAAAACAAAACCAAAACAAAUACACACUCAAAAGAAUACAACCCCGUGACCGUGAGGCCUAUAAACUCAUAGUCCCAGCCUUUAGAUCCACAAGAUCAAUGCUUUAUAUAAAAUCCUUAUAACAGUGACCUUAGAUUUAAGCCACACAGGCUGUGACAAAGCAUUACUUCAUCAGAAUUCCAAGUUACCUAAGCCAAUUGGGAGUUUGAAAUUAAAGUAUGCCAAUUUUAGAAUUGCACCACAAAAAUCAAGCUUCUUGCAGUAAUCAUAUCAACAAGACAACAGGUUUCCGAAUUGAUAAUCUACCAAAAGAAGAGGGCAAAAUCACAAACCCAAUUUCACAUUCUAAAAACCUAGACUUUACAGAAAUUACGAAGCUAAAACCCUAACAAUCCACAUUUUAAAUAAAACGACCAGCAUCAAAAGCAGAGAAUUAGUGGAAAGCCCAAGGCAACACAACAAAAUUGAGAACAGAACCCAAAUUACACAAUCGGAAUAAAAAUAGCUCCAGUAAAGCAAAUCGUACCAUUUCCAAAGAACUCAUAGGAGCUUGAAAGAAGUGAAGCCAUGGGGGGAGUAAAUAUCCAAAUAGAUCCAGUUUGGCAAACCCUAAUAAGUGAGAAAGAGAGAGAGACAGAUUUAAAGAGAGCUUAGGAGAAAGCGAAAGCGCACAGAUAUCUAUAAAAGAGAGAGACUUGUUGCCGUUACGCGAGUCCAAGCCAAAGGUCUCUCUUUGUUUUUG
rnacentral:lncRNA from 1 species